rnacentral:rRNA from 1 species
CCCUUAGAUGUUCUGGGCCGCACGCGCGCUACACUGAUGCAUGCAACGAGUUCUAUCCUUGGCCGGAAGGCCUGGGUAAUCUGUGAACGUGCAUCGUGAUAGGGAUAGAUUAUUGCAAUUAUUAAUCUUGAACGAGGAAUUCCUAGUAAACGCAAGUCAUCAGCUUGCAUUGAUUACGUCCCUGCCCUUUGUACACACCGCCCGUCGCACCUACCGAUCGAAGGUAAUGAUGAGCCCUCAGGAUUGUGGCCUCGUCGCGUCAGCGUCUUGGCUGCGAGAAUCUGUGCAAAUCCCUACAUUUAGAGGAAGGUGAAGUCGUAACA